UACGUAGGGGGGCGAGCGUUGUCCGGAUUUACUGGGCGUAAAGCGCGUGUAGGCGGCUGCUUAAGUCGGGUGUGAAAGCCCGGGGCUCAACCCCCGGGAUGCCGCCCCGAGACUGGGCGGCUUGAGGUCGGAAGAGGGGAGUGGAAUUCCAGGUGUAGCGGUGAAAUGCGUAGAGAUCUGGAGGAACACCCGUGGCGAAGGCGGCUCCCUGGUCCGAUU
rnacentral:rRNA from 1 species